AGCAUGACAAUUUUGACACUGAAAUUAUUAUUAUUUAUCAAACUGAAUAAAUCUCAAUUUCUGAUUCUGAAGUAAUUCAAGAACGUCAUGACUUUUUAUAUUGUGACCCAUUACUGUCUGUGUCAAAGCCCAAUAUCAGCCAAUAUCUGAGUCUGUAAAUCAACUUAUUGUCGUCGUUGUAUCAUAUAUUAAAGUUAAG